UACAGUUUGAAGUUGUUUGAUAUAACAUGAAUGAAUACUAUGGGAAUUCAAGAGCAAGUUCCAGUUCUGCAUCUAGUUUGAAUAGCAAUUCACAGCAGGGUACUGAGGAUGAUCAUGCCAUUGCUACUAUUUUAGCUGAAGAAGAGGAAAAUGCUAGAAAGUAUGGUGGCAAGCUUGGAAAGAGACUUUCUCAUUUAGAUUCGAUACCGCACACUCCACGGGUAAUUGGGGAGAUACCUGACCCAAAUGAUGCCACGCUAGACCACGGAAGGCUCUCCAGCAGGUUGGCGACAUAUGGUCUCUUUGAAAUGCAAAUAGAAGGGGAUGGGAAUUGCCAGUUUCGAGCCCUUUCAGAUCAGUUGUAUCAUAAUCCAGAGUAUCACAAGCAUGUAAGGAAGGAGGUUGUUAAACAGCUAAAGCAGUUUAGAAAGUUAUAUGAAGGUUAUGUACCCAUGAAAUACAAAAGGUACUUGAAGAAGAUGAAGAGGUCGGGAGAAUGGGGAGAUCAUGUCACUCUACAAGCAGCUGCUGAUAGAUUUGGGGUAAAAAUAUGUUUGGUCACCUCUUUCCGGGACAAUGGCUACAUUGAUAUCCUUCCCAAGGACAUACAACCUUCUAGGGAACUGUGGCUGAGUUUCUGGAGUGAAGUUCACUACAAUUCGUUAUACGAAAUUGGAGAAGCUCCAGUUAGAGUUCCCAGAAAGAAGCAUUGGCUUUUUUUCUAAGCCCAUUCACCAGCAAUAAUACUGCAUACUGCAAAUUGAUAACUCUACAGAGCAUGGCAUGCACAUAACAAAAUCCUAUGUAUAAUAUUGUUUAUACUGCUCAGUUUGUAGAAGGAAGACAUUUAUGAUUUAAUUUUACCCGAUUUCAAGAUAAAUUUAAAAAGUAUUCUUUUGGAUCUCCCGGGGUACGAUUCAAGGCAUGCCCGAUCUGAGGGCCGCUAAACUCUGAAUGUCACGUGUCACCUUUUAAUACGUUGGGAUGUCAAAAUCGGAUUUCAAUCCCAUUACAAUAAUAGAGGUAGAAAUGUUUUGUAUAUACUUG
rnacentral:misc_RNA from 1 species